UUCAAGGAUCCAAAUGGUAUAAAAUUCAAACCUUCUCUAAAUCCCAAUUUUCCUAAUACCAUUUUUUUCAAGACCAGAUCCUCUCUUUGUAACUCAAAGAAUCCCAACUCUAGACACUUUCCAUAGGUUGCUGCAACAUGACUUGUCAUGUAGGUCACUCAUUCCUACCAACAUGCUGCAAAUGAGUAAUCCUCAUCUUGAAAAUCAGUCUGAUCCACUCAGUAGUGGACCACAACUGAUGCUUACACGAGAUGACUGUCGAAAGCUUUAUUCGAGUUUUGAUUCAUUGGAAGCUUUUCAAGUGACCUUUUUCCUGCAUUUUUUGGCUUGGAAUUACUCAACUAAGUUCCUGCUAUAGCUGAUAGAUGGUGUGUUCAUGGCUAUAGCUAAUAGAUGGUGUGUUUGUGCCUCAUAGGUAUCCAUUUGGUCAUGAGGAACUUGUUGUUUGAGAGGACAUUGAUCAGUUCAGACAUGGUGAUUUUGGACUCUAGAUUUUGCCUUUCGUAGAAAUAGUGGGUUUGGAUGCAAAUUAGAGCACAGAUUGCAAUUUUGCAGGCCCUAAAACAAGAUUUGAGGUGCCGUCAACAAUGCUAACAGAAUCCUCCAGGUCAGAUUAUUGAUUGGAUGUGAUUUUAUUUAAAUGAUCUUGAUAAUCCAUUUUAUUUAAAUGAGCAGACCCGAAUGUGCGUCGGAGCUAUCCGGAUGUUGAGCGGGGGUCCCUGGAAGGUGAGAACCGCUGUUAUGACCAUGAUGAAGCUGUCCAUUUCCUAUGGACAACAUUGGAGUGGCCUGGCCAUUUGGACAGGCCAUAUUUAUGUAUU